CUUUGUUACUUGAGUUGUUGUAAAGCGAAAUUUUCGAAAUUUUGUGGUGCAUAAAAAACAACAAAUUAUUAAGCGCGAAAAUGCUUUUGGCUGUUCAGUGACGUUCCAACUGAUUCCUGGCUCAUUAAGCUGCGGUUUUUGUUUUCAAUAAUUCGUCGCGUUUCUCGCGUUAAGUUGAUUGUUUGUGAAUUUUGCUGCACAUCAUCUCUAAUUUACCGUUAUUCAAUUUAGCUUACGAUAGUCGCAUCAAAUUCGACGUACGAACGCGUAACAACUAAAAAAUAAUUUUGAAAUUAUCAAAUAAAAAUUAAACGUGAAAAAUAAAUUUUAAACCAAUUCAGUAGCAAUUUAAGAGUUAUUGGGAUGAAAAAGUGAAAUUUAUACCUAGUCCAAAAAUUAAACGCACAAAAAUUUAAAACCUCCAGCCGUACGCAUUUAUAUGUACUUAUACAAAAACAAUUUUUUUAAUAAAAGUCAUCAUAUCCAGCUUUAUAGGCAGAUAUUGCAACACAAUAAUUUAAAUGCAAACAAAAAAAUCUUUUUAAAAAUAUCCAAAUCUACAAAAUAAUCUAAGCAAAAAAUUUUAAAACGCCGCUAAUUCAAAUUUGAAGAAAUAUUUACAGAAAAAAAUAUAUUUGCAUUUUAAAAAGCAAUCACUUGGUGAAACUACGCCUACAAUCAACAGUUAGGGAAUCACUGAGCAAAACAUAUUUUAUUAAACAAAAUUUCUUUUGUUUUUGUUUUUUUUGGAAAAAAGCAUUACAAACACACGAAAUUACGUAUACAAAGCAGGUAAAAGUAUCUUUAGCUAAUAACAAAUUUUCCUCCAACUCUUCUCGUCUACACAUCAACUGCGUUGACAAUAAUUGCAACUGUGUGGCAACGGCGCGCUUUAACAACAACAAAAUGGCAUAAAAAUACAAAUUUUUUUUCGACCCACAACAACAACAACAAUGCGAAUUGUCAUGAAAACGCGCACGCAUUUGCUUCUGGCCAAUAAUUAAAAUGUCAAAUUGCACGACUGUGGGCUGCUGUCGGCGUCACAACACCAUUACGACGACGUCAUACGAAUGCCCAACACUAUUUUUGUUGUUCUUCAUGUGUUUGUGGGUGUAUGCGCGUAACCGUACUUUCACAAAUCCCAAACCACCCGCACUGUGAUUGCCGAAUGAAUUUGACAACCAACUGCGGAACGUUGGCUGCGGUCACUAUCACCACGACGGCUGCUACAACAACGACGACUAAUACAACUACAAUUUCCACUACUACCAAUUUUGACAUAUCGUUCAAUGCACUGCAUGCCAAUAAUGAUGAUGAUGACAUCGCAUCUACUGACACAUCUCGUUAUCUCCGAUGAUUUUCGGCUCGCGCGACAUGUCAUGUCAUCCACGAAUGACUGAAAUGCGCAAAAAAUUGCGGAAUAUCGAAAAAUGCGAUGGCAUAAAUCGAUAAUGAAUAAAAUGCAACUAAUGGCCAUGGUAAAAAAACAAAUGCAUUUAAAAAUUUUUAAAUUGAUAAAAUAAAAUGAAUAUGAAAUUAAAUAAAAAAUAAAAAAUAAUAAAUAAAAAAACGCAACGAAAUGAACUGUCAAAUAAAUGCACGAAAUAAAAAAAAAACAUGUAAACUAUAAAAAUUAUUUUUACCCAACGGCAAACGUCACAAAACGUCACGAUUCAACAAAACAAAACCAAAAAACAAAAAAAACAUACAAAAACAAAAUCAACCGCUCGACAUUCGCUAUUGACUACAUUUUUCCGUUGCUCUUUGUCGGAAAUGUCAUUAUACUUGACUGUCUGCACUUCAACUCUCAUUUAUUAUUACGAAUUCUGCCCUUGUUGACUGGCUUUCUGGCGUCACCGCUGCCACUCAACUUGCAACAAACAACAAUGUUGCUCGUUAACUGUACUGCUAACGGUUGUAAAUUGUAACGGUAAAUACAACUGUCAAACGCUGGCAAAUGUCAACUGUCAAAUUAUUGAUGCGUCAUUGUAGCCCGCAAACUAUUAGCAGCUACCCGCCAACUGAAUCGAGCGCAGAGAAAAGGAGAGUAUAUAAGAGAGCAAAAUAUAUAGGAAGUAAACGAAAAUAAAGAUUAAAUGACAAGUUAAAUAGAAAAGUUGAAACUUUGUAACAUAAAAGAGACAAGCCAAAUUGACAAGUGCAGCUGAAGGCAACACUAUUGAGGUAAAAGAAGUAGUGAAUGCAAUUAAG